CAAAAACAUAGCUGUGUGCUACUACUCAUAGUAUUUUCUGCUCAAUGAGACUUUAAAUGGCCGCAGUACCUUGACUGUGCAAAGGUAGCGAAAUCAAUUGUCUUCUAAUUAAAGUCUUGUAUCAACGAACCUAUGGGGGCCUACUGUACCAGUAAUAGCCUACGAAUUUACUGAGGGCGUGCAAAUACGCUUAUAUCUUAAUAGACGAGAAGACCCUAGAAAUUUUGACAGAUGUUUUUGUUGGGGCAACAUGGUAACAAAGAAUCUACUAUAUGGGCAAGAAAAGUGUAAGAAAGAGUAAAUUACUCUAGGGAUAACAGCAUAAUGCAAAAGCGCUUGUGACCUCGAUGUUGGAUUAGGUAGUUAUAGCCUAGAAGGUAAUUAACUUUGCUCUGUUC
rnacentral:rRNA from 1 species